AUCAACUCCAUAAGUAAACUUAGCCACCAGAGAUCACAUAACACGUAAUAAACGUAUUAUCAUAUACUUAUAAUAAUACAAGAAUAUGCAGCCAACUAGACACAUGAAUGAACCUUGGGCCCAACAUACUGCCAACCUUACCAAAAAGGUGCAGCACAACAUCAGCACAAACUCCCGCAUACGUGUAUACGUGUUCUCCACACGUAUGCUAUCACACACACGUACGUGCACACCCACACCACACGUACAUACACAACUGUGAACACCCGAGCUAUAGCAACAAAGGCUUAUAACCAGAACAUCACUUUAAUGCAUCGUCAUGCAUUACCCAACAUACGCUUCGAGUCUUGUGCCAUCAUGUAAGUGACCACUUAGGAUCAAGACUUACUCACACAAUCACAACACAAAAAGGAAGGCAGCAACUUACUCUAAGCAUGAUGGUAUCGGGUAAACCCCUGAAUACCACUUAGACACAAUAACCUCAUGCAAUACUAAAUAUAAGUAGUUUACCACACCCCGAACAAAUAUAGACAAUCAAGUACCAAGUCACGUAUUAAUAUGUACAUAAUAUAAUAAGGACUUAUUCACAACCUCAUAACAUAUCUCAUAUAAGUUUAACAAUCUAAAAAGGCAAGUAAGCCCUCGAAUCAUAUCUCAAUUCAUCAAGUAAAGUAAGUCAAGUCCGAAUUCACUUACCUAAUCAUGCACCAGUCCAUCCCAUUCCUUAGUGAUAUCAAGUUCUUCAAAUGCCCAUAUUCACUUUAAGAUUCAAGUUCUAACUUAAUCCAAAUUCCGAAUAGUUAAGUCUAACUAAGUAAGCAUGCAUAUGAUCUAAAGACUAGCUCUAGAAAACAUGCAAACAAACAGACAAUUCGACCACAACUCACGGAUUCGGUAGUUCGGAAGGUUUCUGGGUCUCGGGCGAAUCUCCUCGAUCAUGGUCGACAAUCCUUUACUCACUUUCGAGUUCUCUCAACCACAAGCAACAAUUUUCUAGUCACGGGCAGAGUUUCCUCGACCACGGGCGAUGAUUCUCUGAAUUCGGUCGAGUUUCUUGAUUUUGGUCGAGUUAUUGGUCGGACAGCCUUACAGUCUCUCUCUCUCGCCUUCAAAACUAAAAUUAGGCGAAGUGAGCUCUAUUUAUAUCCCGCCCAAGGUCGGCCAGACUGCACUGCCUGCUGCCUUAUGUCCGGACAGCUGUGACGCCAACAAGCGAUAGUUGUCUCGGGUGAUGGCGUGGCGACUGGUGGCGAUGGGUGUCACUCCACCACCUCAGCAGCUUCGGCUCCAAGACCCAGCCAACUUCGGCUCCAAGAUUGAUUACUUGAGCCGCAAGGCACCGCGUGUGAGGUGUCCUACCCAUGUCGGUUCCGCGGACGGCGGGGCAAACAUCACCGUGGCACGCCCUACUUUUACCGUCUUUGCCCAUCUUUGCCCGUUGAAGGCCCUACUAUUCCCAUCUUUGCCCAUCUUUCCGCGGACGGCGGGGCAAACAUCACUGUGCCCAUUCUUGCCCAUCUUUGCCCGUUGAAGUUUUGGCACCGUUUGGGCAUAUGCAGUCAAUUAGCUUUGCAUUCGGGCAAAACUUUCUCAUUCGGUCCUAUGGUCAUGCCUAAUGCCCUUAUGCGGGUCACUACAUCGCUGACCAAAGCGUAGAGUUCUUUGUCAUAAGUCGGAUAGUUAAUGUGGCACCACCGAGCUUCUCACUAAAGUAGGCUUUGGGCUUCUUAUAAUGUAUCAAAACAACUCCAAUACCUAUACUAGAGGCAUUACAUUCGAUUUCAAAGGUUUAAGAAAAUCGGGUAAGAUCAAAAUAGGGGCAUUAGUAAGCUUCUCUUUAAGUGCUUGAAAAGCUUUCUCUUGAGCUUCUUCCCAUUUGAACCCAACAUCUUUCUUGAUUGCUUCGGUGAUGGGUGAGGCUAAGGUGCUAAAAUCCUUGACAAAACGCCUAUAAAAAUCGGCAAGGCCGUGAAAGCUCCGAACUUCUCUAACGAUUUUAGGGCUAGGCCACUCCUUGAUUGUCUUCACUUUCUCAUCCUCUACUUUAACGCUAUCUGCACUUACAACAAAACUUAGAAAAACAAGAUUAUCCGUGCAAAAGGUGUACUUGUUAAGAUUGACAUAAAGCUUCUCUUCCCUAAGGACUUUCAUGCCCGAUUCUAGAUGAUCAAGAUGUUCAGCCAUGCUCUUGCUAUAAACCAAAAUGUCAUCGAAAUAAACCACAACGAAAUGACCUAUGAAUGUUCUAAGGAUGUGGUUCAUUAAGCGCAUGAAUAUACUAGGUGCAUUUGUCAACCCGAAUGGCAUAACUAACCAUUCGUACAACCCAUGUUUCGUUUUAAAAUGUAGCUUUCUACUCAUCUCCUUCUUUCAUCCUAAUCUGAUGAUAACCACUUUUCAAAUCUAUUUUAGAGAAAAUGCAUGAACCAUGCAACUCAUCAAGCAUAUCAUCAAGUCUAGGAAUAGGGUGGUGAUACUUCAAUGUAAUAUUAUUGAUUGCCCGACAAUCAACGAUACGCCAACUCCCGUCUUUCUUUGGCACAAGUAGGACCGGAACGACACAUGGACUCAUGCCCUUUAGCCAUGAGUUCGUCGAGUUGUCGUUGCAACUCCUUAGUUUCCACUGGAUUGGUACGAUAAGCUAGACGUUUGGGAAGUGUUGCUCCUGGGACAAAGUCUAUUUGAUGUUUGAUUCCCCGGAAAGGUGGUAAGCCGUUGGGGCUGUCUUCGGGAAACACAUCCUUAUAAUCCUGUAAAAGAAAAGUUAACUCACUCGGAUCGGCCUGUGCAAGGUUAGCCAAAGAUGUUAGUGCUUCUUUAAAAAUAAACAAUAAGAUGGGUCGUUUGGAGUGCAUAGCUUGCUUAACCUUAUUAGCCUUAAUAAAGAAAUUGGGUUGCUUACGGACUUUUGUUUCCUUGGCCGAGAGUUGUAUUUGAUCGUCAUAUACCUCUUGUGGUGUCAAUGGAAUGAGGGUCGUUUUCUUGCCUUUGAACAUGAAUGAGUACCGAAUUGUGAAGCCAUCAUGGAUCACUAUCUGAUCUGAUUGCCAUGGUCAGCCUAGAAGGAUAUGUCUGGCGUCAAUCAGCAACACAUCACAAAGAAUUUGAUCAUGGUAGCUUCCGAUUGCUAAGGGUACAACCACUUGAUUCUUCACACUCAUUUCUCCAUCAUCGUUAAGCCAUUGUAACUUGUACGACUUAGGAUGCUUUUACUGCUUCAAAUUGAGCUUUCGGACCAUUGUUUCACUCGCCACAUUUGUAUAGCUUCCUCCAUCGAUGAUCAAACUACAAACUUUCUCAUUGACGAUGCACCGCGAAUGAAAUAGGUUAUCUCUUUGCUCUUCUUCUUUGGUUCGGGUUUGAAGGCUUAAAGUCCUCCUUGCCACGUAAAGUUCUCUGAACUGUUCUUCAUCCUCAUCCGGGGAUGAGGUCAUGUCUUGUUCCUCUUCCAAAUCUUUAGAAACUUUCCUUGACAUCAAGAGCUUUCCAUUAGCUGGCUUAGCAAUACACUCCUCGGUGACGAAUCAGGUUUUGGCACGAACUCGCCUUCGGACUACAACUCGCCAUUCUCCCUUAUGACCAUUACUCUCUUGUUGGUACAUUCAUUAGCAUAGUGCCCACGCCCAUGGCACUUGAAGCGUCGAAGAUCACGGGUCCUAGUAGUGGUGGCGCUAUCGGGCUUGGUCUUGUCUCGCUCUUGGAUAGUCGGCAUUAUUUUAGGCUCGCUCUUGGGAAUGAAGGCUGGCUUGACUUCUCUUGGAUAGCUUGGUCGGUUUGAAUCAUAAUUUGCCCGAGAGGAACCCAUUCUCUUGACUUGAUGCUCCACUAAGAUAGCUUUAUGUAGCAUCGCCUCUAACUCUUCGUAAUGUUGCAUCUCGACACGGUCCUGAAUUUCUCGAUUCAAUCCUCCCAAGAACCUUGACAUAGUCGCUUCACGAUCCUCCCCUCUAUUGCUGCGCAACAGCAAAGUUUCCAUCUCUUGGUAAUAGUCUUCCACCGAUCGAGUACCUUGGACGAGCUUUUGAAGUUUGGAAUGAAGUUCACGAUGAUAGUGGCUUGGCACAAACUUACGCCUCAUGAGAAGCUUCAACCCUUCCCAUGUAUCAAUAGGAUACUCUCCAUUACGCCACCUUGUAGUGACGAUUUGAUCCCACCAACUAAGAUCAUAGUCAAAGAAUUCGGUUGCGGCGACCUUCACGCGGUUAACCUCGGCGUAGUUUUGACAAUUGAACACAAGUUCCAUUUUCUUUUCCUAGUCCAAAUAGGCAUCCAGAUCAUUCUUCCCACGAAAAGGUGGAACCUUCAUCUUAUAGCCACCAAGAUUCUCAACCAUAAGAUCUCUUUCUUCUCUCCAUAUCUUGGUCUUAGGUUACUCCGGUGAGAUGAGUGACCAUGGUUGUAGUAUUCUUGAGCGUUUGGGUCUACUAGGUCCUUCCUUGGGUCAUGGAUUCGACUAUUCAUCUCCUUUCGAGAUUGCUCUCCUUCCGAGAUGACAACUUGUUCAACGGGUGCUUUCCCUUUCGCUUUAAGUUGAUUGUUGAUUGGCUUAAGCUCGACAUCAAUUAUUUUCUCCAUUUGUAACGUGAUAGCAUCGAUGAUGGCUUGGUUAUUAACACUCUUCUCUGAGCUUGAUUCGGUUGUCACCAUUUUCUGCCAACAAACAACACUAAACCAGUCACUAGUUCAAGGAGAAUACUAAACGUUUUUCUAAGAACAGAUAAAGAAGAUCGCACAGAUUUAAUUAUCAAAUCAUGCUCAAAAAUUCCAUAAACAAUUUUCUAAAAUACUAGACUCGUGUUAGAUUCAAAUCAAUU
rnacentral:sRNA from 1 species